rnacentral:rRNA from 1 species
UACGGAGGAUCCAAGCGUUAUCCGGAUUUACUGGGCGUAAAGAGUUGCGUAGGUGGUUUUUUAAGUGAAUAGUGAAAUCUUGUGGCUCAACCAUAAGGCUAUUAUUCAAACUGGAAAACUCGAGAACGAGAGAGGUCACUGGAAUUCCCUGUGUAGGAGUGAAAUCCGUAGAUAUGGGGAGGAACACCAAUGGCGUAGGCAGGUGACUGGCUCGUUUCUGACACUGAGGCCCGAAAGCGUGGGGAGCGAACGGG